UUACAUACCUGGUAGGGGAGACACCAUGAUCAUGAAGGUGGUUUUCUCAGGGUGAGGCUCAUCCAUUGUACUCUGGAUGUGCUGACCCCUGUGAUUUCCUCAUAUGCGGGAAACUUGACUGCAUAAUUUGUGGUAGUGGGGGACUGCGCUUGCACUUUCCCUUA